ACAGAAAUUACAUUGAUGAUUGUGGAUAACUCUGUGCGUAAAAAGGUAUAAAGCGGGCUUUUGCUGGGGAAUGCAGCAGUCAGUCAUUUUUCUGCAAUUUUUCUAUUGCGGCCUGCGGAGAACUCCCUAUAAUGCGCCUCCAUCGACACGGCGGAUGUGAAUCACUUCACACAAACAGCCGGUUCGGUUGAAGAGAAAAAUCCUGAAAUUCAGGGUUGACUCUGAAAGAGGAAAGCGUAAUAUACGCCACCUCGCGACAGUGCGCUAAAGCGCGUCGCAACUGCUCUUUAACAAUUUAUCAGACAAUCUGUGUGGGCACUCGAAGAUACGGAUUCUUAACGUCGCAAGACGAAAAAUGAAUACCAAGUCUCAAGAGUGAACACGUAAUUCAUUACGAAGUUUAAUUCUUUGAGCAUCAAACUUUUAAAUUGAAGAGUUUGAUCAUGGCUCAGAUUGAACGCUGGCGGCAGGCCUAACACAUGCAAGUCGAACGGUAACAGGAAGAAGCUUGCUUCUUUGCUGACGAGUGGCGGACGGGUGAGUAAUGUCUGGGAAACUGCCUGAUGGAGGGGGAUAACUACUGGAAACGGUAGCUAAUACCGCAUAACGUCGCAAGACCAAAGAGGGGGACCUUCGGGCCUCUUGCCAUCGGAUGUGCCCAGAUGGGAUUAGCUAGUAGGUGGGGUAACGGCUCACCUAGGCGACGAUCCCUAGCUGGUCUGAGAGGAUGACCAGCCACACUGGAACUGAGACACGGUCCAGACUCCUACGGGAGGCAGCAGUGGGGAAUAUUGCACAAUGGGCGCAAGCCUGAUGCAGCCAUGCCGCGUGUAUGAAGAAGGCCUUCGGGUUGUAAAGUACUUUCAGCGGGGAGGAAGGGAGUAAAGUUAAUACCUUUGCUCAUUGACGUUACCCGCAGAAGAAGCA
rnacentral:rRNA from 1 species